AGCAGCCGCGGUAAUUCCAGCUCCAAUAGCGUAUAUUAAAGUUGUUGCAGUUAAAAAGCUCGUAGUUGAACUUCGGAAUUUGCCCAUUGGUCAGGCUUAACUGUCUGCACUGGUGUGACGAGUUCCUACCUUCUGAGGAAUCUCCAUGUCAUUCAGUUGGUGUGGGGGGAAAUCAGGACUGUUACUUUGAAAAAAUUAGAGUGUUUAAAGCAGGCGUCCGUCUGAAUACAUUAGCAUGGAAUAAUAAAAUAGGACGGUUUGGUUCUAUUUUGUUGGUUUCUAGGAUCACCGUAAUGAUUAAUAGGGAUAGUUGGGGGCAUUAGUAUUCAAUUGUCAGAGGUGAAAAUUCUUGGAUUUAUUGAAGACUAACUACUGCGAAAGCAUUUGCCAAGGAUGUUUUCAUUAAUCAAGAACGAAAGUUAGGGGAUCGAAGACGAUCAGAUACCGUCGUAGUCUUAACCAUAAACUAUGCCGACUAGGAUCGGACGAAGUUAAUUUUUAAUUGACUCGUUCGGCACCU
rnacentral:rRNA from 1 species